rnacentral:piRNA from 1 species
UCCNGCUUCUGGCUAUUGUAAAUAAGGCUGU